ensembl:snoRNA
AGUGCCUGACCCGGGUAGAGCAGGAUCUGGUUGGUGGCGCCUGCCUCCUGUCAGCCAGGGACAAAGCAGCCAGCUCCUUGUUUACCCCGGCUUGGCUUUCGGUCAGGGUCCAUGCCUGGUUUAUGCCCUGGACACAUGG